GCUUGACUCAGCAAGAACAUUUCCCACAGGAAUUUGACCAUGAGUAUUCGUACUACCUAGACAGUUUUUGUGAAUCUCUGAAGGUGGUGAAAGCAAGAGAAAAAGUUUCCUGAGAACAGCCUGUGUAACUGGGUACCAAAGCAAAGGUCCAUGGAGGGUUGGAAGGGCCAGAGCUGAUGGAGAUGUGCUCUGUGAAUUGGUCCUUGCAUACAGUUUCCUCCUUUGUUUCUCUUUAUGAAUGAGCUCAGUUUUUACAACACAACUUCUUCAUUGCAAUUACA